UCCCGAUUCCGAUGAGAUCGGGGCUGAGAGAGUUUGGCAUAGCUUAAGAAAGCCCUCUAUAAAACCCUCUUCCCCUUCCUUAGAUCAUCACCUCAAAUCAAUUGAGAGAUUGCGGAGAAUUGUUCGAGAUUUCUCGUAUUCUUCUGUGGGUUGCCACUAGAGAAAAGGCCACCAAAAACCCUCCUCUGGCCGUCGAAAUGAGGUGCUUGGCCAGAGAUGCACACUAGAGAGACACUAUGGUGGACAUGCAAAGGGAGGCAGUAGAUUGAAGGGAGAGUGCAUUACAGUGGCCAAAGACAGAGGUACAAAUUAGCCAGGACAACAUGAGGAGGAUGAGGACCUCUGCAUCGACCUACACCAAAGAGAUGACAAGUUGAAAGCCAGGAAGAUGGAGGCACAUGGCAGAUUGAGAACCUGAUAAGGAGAAGAUGGAGUGUGACGAAAUGGGACUAGGGAAAUUGGAAAGAGGGUUAGGGAUUGAAACUUUAUAGAGGGCAUAUAUCAUGUCACUGACUCAAGAACUGCUGAAUACUCAUAGGAAACUCAUCCCACAAUAUGUAAGGUAUUCAUCAUAAUAUCAUAAAGUAAAUAGCAAAACAAAUAAUUAAUAAGUUAA